CCUGCAGGCGUCCCGAGGGGCAGGAUCGUCUCCGGAGCCGACCGUGCCAGGGCUGGGCCACGGAAGGCGGAGCUGCAGCAUGUGGAGGCCCUUUGUGGACAGGUGCACGGGCCCAUCUCUCUCCGAGGCGCUACCUGCGGUUUACUGGACGUUUAUUAGAAGCCCACGCAAUAUCGUGAAGCACCUGCAGGCAAUAAAACCCUUUACAUGUGUGAGGCCUUGAGGAAAUUAACGGCUCCUCCCUGGGGAUGCAUAUUUCGUGAAGAUGUUUAUUACAGAUGAAGUGCUCCCGGGGUGGAACAUUAACAAGUUGUAGAGUGAUAAAAGGAUUUUUAUCCUUUUUCAGUGACAGAGGGUCGGCUGAGCGGAGUCAGGGUCCUUGGAUGGCUGGACCACUGGACAAGGGGAAUGGAGCCGACUGGAGCGGGUGCGGGGCCUGGAUGCUGGACAGAGAACGCGUGAGGACGGUCUGGGUUCGAAUUCCAGGCAC
rnacentral:lncRNA from 1 species